rnacentral:lncRNA from 1 species
CCAGGCCCGCACGCCAAAGCAAUGGACUGAAUCCGUUACGGUCCUUUUACCAAAAGCAGGAGAUGCGCUCCUCCUGAACAACAAGCGACCCAUUGCCCUCGCCAACACUCUUUAUAAGUUAUGGACUAGCCUCGUCACAGUGUCCAUCGGGGACGUCGCUCCCGAACUCGCGUUGUUUAGCGAGGCGCAAGAAGGGUUCCUCCGGUACAGAAACACGGAACGGCAAAUCCAAAACCUGCUCCACGUCAUUGAGGAUGCUGGGCUCACACGCAAAGAUCUCUACCUGUUAUACGUCGACUUCUCCUCGGCAUUCAACACCAUCAACCACGACCUGCUGCUACAGAUCAUGUACGACCUAGGGCUACCCGAGGACCUCAUCUAUGUCGUACGGGAUCUGUACAGCCAAGCGCGGACCACUAUACGGACAGAACACGGCCUCACAGCNNNNNNNNNNNNNNNNNNNNNNNNNNNNNNNNNNNNNNNNNNNNNNNNNNCCGCCACAAGCGUACUGCAACGUUUCUGUCGCCGGUGGAAACUUCGACCAUAAUCCCGUUCACGCCCGCCUGGCCGCCGACGCCAUCCGCCUGUGGGACGCCAAGAAACCGGCAGUCCCAAACAACCCAGACGGAGACGGGGCCCGGACUAAAUGGAAAAACGUGAUACUGCCGGUUCCGAAUUCCACUAUCCGCGCAGCGCAAUCGAAGAUGGAUGCCUCGCUCACGUCGGACAUCCUCAGCCUCCAGGAAUACCUCCGCCCCGCCGUCCAGGAGAUUGACGAAACACAUCGAGGACCCCACGGAUAUGACAGCCACCCGCUUGAUGACACUACUUCGCGGCCACGACAGCAUCACGGCGGUCAAUGUGGAGAUUGCGGCAGCAAUGCUCCAAACAACCCUCGACAAGGGACUAGACAUCCUACUAGACCUGUGCCCUCAGAAACCGCCAUGUACGGGCAAAAUACACACCAAACGAACAGUCAGCAGAAGACUAAAAAAGUUACACAGAGAACACACCCGGCUCAAGCAUGACUAUGAAAUGGAACUACGGAUGCAGGCCGCCCCCGGAUGCCAACAGCCAGUUUGCGCGGACAGCUCAACAAGCCCUAACGGGCUGGCAUCGAAUGGCAACCACGCACCUCCUGAAGGUGCCGGGGGCUUGCUGGAGCAACUACGGGACACGAUUCGACGGGUCGGUAGCCAAAUACGGCAGGCGCUAACAACAGAACGCCGGAAAAGCAUAACCGCAGCGCGCCGCCGAACCCAGCAUCUGAUCGCCACACGCCCUCGACGGGCUCACCAAGGCAUCUUUAGCAAGGAUGAACUCGAACGCGGCCUGCCUGCGGUGAAACACCCGGUCUCCGGUAAAAUAUGCACGGAACCCGAAUCCAUCCUUGAAGCAGUCCACCAGUACUUCCAGACGCAGGCCGCCCCCAUUGGCCCCCCGAAGACCGGACGGUACCGACCCGAGGAAACCCCUCGAGCGUACCCAUUUCUGCAGAGUGCCGCCCCAGACACGUUCUCCCUUACCAGCCCGAAACAGGCCGCGGACCACGUCCUGCUUAGCAGCGUCGCCGACCCUUUUAACUUUAACAAGUGUGUCCAACACCUGGCCCGCAAUAAAACACCGGGACCCGAUGGGAUACCUAACGAGCUACUGAGAGCAUUGCCCACUGCCUUACAGUCCACCAUCCACGACCUCCUGAAAGUCAUGUGGGCCCAGGCCCGCACGCCAAAGCAAUGGACUGAAUCCGUUACGGUCCUUUUACCAAAAGCAGGAGAUGCGCUCCUCCUGAACAACAAGCGACCCAUUGCCCUCGCCAACACUCUUUAUAAGUUAUGGACUAGCCUCGUCACAGUGUCCAUCGGGGACGUCGCUCCCGAACUCGCGUUGUUUAGCGAGGCGCAAGAAGGGUUCCUCCAGUACAGAAACACGGAACGGCAAAUCCAAAACCUGCUCCACGUCAUUGAGGAUGCUGGGCUCACACGCAAAGAUCUCUACCUGUUAUACGUCGACUUCUCCUCGGCAUUCAACACCAUCAACCACGACCUGCUGCUACAGAUCAUGUACGACCUAGGGCUACCCGAGGACCUCAUCUAUGUCGUACGGGAUCUGUACAGCCAAGCGCGGACCACUAUACGGACAGAACACGGCCUCACAGCGCCAAUAAUGAUCGAACGAGGCACAGUACAGGGGGACAGGCUCUCGCCGGUGCUAUUCAUUAUUUUCCUCGAACCACUCCUCCGAUGGCUCCACGCUGGCGGACGAGGGUACAAGUACGGCUGCCUCCCCGACAGCCUGAACGCCAGGUACCAUGGAAGCUCAGCCGCUUACGCCGACGACCUCGCCGUGAUGACCAACAGCGCACAAGACCUACAAAUACAAUGCGACAAGAUCAGCUUGUACUCGAAAUGGGCGGGCCUACACGUGAAUCACAAAAAAUGCGCAGUGACGGGCAUCCUGCACCACAGGGCAUGGGCCGACCGAGGUCUGAACGGACCCACGUGUGCACGCACCCUCAAGGCAGCCUUGGAUGAAAAAAUCAAAAUCAGCGGCCAGUCAGUGCCGUACCUACCCCCCACGGAACCCUACAAGUACCUUGGGGUCCACGUAACGCUGACCCUCAACUGGAGCGCACAGAUGUCCCACGUCUGCAAGGCGGUGAGGGACAAGGGCGACCUACUUCAGGGAUCCCUAGCAUCGCCGGACCAAUGUAUCAGAAUCAUACAGACUUGUAUACAAGCGGUAGUGUCAUACAGCUUCUCCACCAUGGCAUACACUCCUAAUGAUAUCAGACUUUUGGAUGCGAUGAUCGCACGCGCAGCCCAACGCUGCUACCGCUUGCCCACCAGUUUUCCCACACGCGCCGUGCUGCUACCGGUGGAACAAUAUGGACUCGGCGUUGGGUCCCUGCUACCGAUCUAUGUGCGCAUGGCAGCUCGCGCGCUGGUCCUCUCCCUGAAUGAUGAAGGCCGGCUAGGCGUCGUGACACGAGCCAUGCUUAAGCUGCAGUGUCGUCUGGCGGCCGACACUAGGAUGCACACGUUGAAACGCGAGAGCAGUUUCUACACGACCCUGAAACAGCUGACCCUGGCGCGAGACCAUGGCAUCGCGGUCACCGACAAAGGGAUGCCGUAUAACACUCUCAUGACGGCCGCCUCCGCCGUCAACGCGCGGCAGGACACAAAGUCCGAAACCCUGCCGUACAGAUGCUUGCUCCCCUUGACAGAGCUGGGCCUAGACAUGCACGCGCUCAUAGACAAGAACACAACACAACACCUCAUCACCACCACUGAUCUCCAGAAGCUUUUCCCCCGGGGCAAGGUGCAGCACCGGCACAAGAUCGCCUUGAAUCGACUAAGCCUAGCGAUAAGUGCCCAAUGCCCCCAAGCUCCACACACGAAGGCACAUGACCCACGUCGCUGGUCGUCCGCGCUGCCUCUGGAAGACAGACGCCUCCGCGAGAUCCCCAGUGACCCUCCGUACACUGGCCUCCGGCACAAAUCAAGUCUCCCCAACCCGAUACUAGCACCAUCCCUCGACCCACAUGUACGCCGUGACACACCUGUCGUGUGGAGCCACGUGGAAGGUGGACCACGGAGAAGCCACACCAUCCCCGCGCAGAACCAGAUGACAUGGAGAGUGACCCACCAGCGCCGCCGAGCCACCCUGCGGAACCAG